rnacentral:lncRNA from 1 species
CUCUCCCUCUCAAAAAAUCCUAAGGCAUCAUGAAACUGAGCAAUAGAAAAGAAAAAAUGUAUAUCCGACAAACGGAAUGAAAUCAGGUUCGAUGUGUAUAGAUUAAAAGUUUUGGGUUUAAGAAAUUGAUAGGUGGUGUAAAAUUCCCUAACUAAUUCGAUGUAUGUUGGCACGUCGACAUUAUAAUAGAGUGACCAGCUGAUGUUAUAUAUUAGUUUCAUGACAUCGAGCCAAAUUUUUAGGGUUUUUAAAGUAGGGUUGUGGGCACAUUUACUGGGCACUAUUGGGAGUUUGCGGAUUUCUUCAUACCUUUCUUUUUCUAAAUCAUCUUCAAACAUGAGAUGCCCACUUAGUUUAGAUUUAGUGGGUUAGGGAAAAUGUUGGCCUCUCCUGACCCAUGCUCACUUGCAAUUUCGAUCUACUUCUGUGGUCUCCUUAGUGGGGGAGCUAUUGCGGGUCUGGUUGUUAGGUUGCCUGGCUUGGUCUAGUUGUGGAAGUGUUGGGCCUUCUGGUUAGAGAGUCAGGGAUAUUGAUUAUGGGGUUGCAGCAUUGUUGAAUAGCCAUAUAAGAACUGCUACCACCAUGGGGUGGAUUGUGUUGUCCUUGUGGGCCUUGCGUUUGGUGUGCUGUUGGAAGAGAUGCAAUUUUUGGUGGUGAUUCUUCAGUAGGUCGCUUUCGGGGUCCCAGGCCUUCGUUUUUCCAAACAAUU